rnacentral:rRNA from 1 species
UACGUAGGGUGCAAGCGUUAAUCGGAAUUACUGGGCGUAAAGCGUGCGCAGGAGGUUUUGUAAGUCAGAUGUGAAAUCCCCGGGCUUAACCUGGGAACUGCGUUUGAAACUACAAGGCUAGAGUGUGGCAGAGGGGGGUGGAAUUCCACGUGUAGCAGUGAAAUGCGUAGAGAUGUGGAGGAACACCGAUGGCGAAGGCAGCCCCCUGGGUUAACACUGACGCUCAGGCACGAAAGCGUGGGGAGCAAACAGG